rnacentral:lncRNA from 1 species
CCGGGAGCGCGGGGCCAGCCGGGGUUCGUAGUCCCCGCCGGCCGCUGUCGACGAGGGGCGCGGCCGCGCCGAGGCACUGCGCUACGUUGCGCGGCGUGCAGCGGGACGAGCGUAUAAGGGGCUGGCGGCGAGCGCGGCUCAGCCAGUCCGUCCGUCCGCCUGCCCGUCCGUCAGAACAAUGCCAUCGCCGCCAGAGCCGGGCAGCCGCGGCUGAGGGGCGGCGGAGCAGCCGGGCGGGACGCGCUCCUCGAGCAGCGCCGCUCCGAGCGGGGGAGCCGCCGCCAGCAUGUGGAUCCCCACGGAGCACGAGAAGUACGGCGUGGUAAUAGCUGGUUUUCGAGGAACAGUCCCACAUGGCCUCUCACUGGAGAUUGGAGACACAGUUCAGAUACUGGAGAAGUGCGAUGGAUGGUACAGAGGAUUUGCCUUAAAAAACCCAAAUGUUAAGGGUAUCUUUCCAUCCAACUACAUUCACUUGAAAAAUGCAUGCGUUAAGAACAAAGGACAAUUUGAAAUGGUUAUUCCAACAGAAGACUCUGUUAUUACAGAGAUGACAUCAACUUUAAGAGACUGGGGAACGAUGUGGAAACAACUCUAUGUGGCAAGUACUUUGAAUAAGUUGCUUUGAAUACCAGCUCAAAAGACCAGAUAUGUCGUUAAAAUAUAGCUUUUCCUGCAUGAAAGAAAGGAAAAAGAUGAUUGGAGGUAGUGGACAUUUUGUGAAUCUCUUUUCCUGUAGGAUUUAUUUGAUUGUUGCUUUUCUAUUUUAAUUUAACUUGUCUUUUGUGGUUUACUGCUCACUCUGACCAAAUAAAUAAGUCAGAGAAUCUACAAUUCUUGUUUUAAUAUAACUUCAAAAAUAAUUAAAUGUGGAAAUGAGAUGUCAGACUCCUCGACUAGUAUUAUUAUUAUACCUAUAGAUUAUAAUAGCAGAUCCAAUGCAUUAAUUGAGAGAAAAUGAUCUUCUUAAUGGUUGAGUGACCAGAUUAUGUAUAUGCAAAAAGAAGAAACAAAAAGACAUUAUUAAUAAACAGUAUAAAAAAGAACUGCAUUUUCAGGCAAAGUUUUGUAUAAACAACAUUAAAUUUUCAGUUGCAGAAAGUCUCUAAGCCAGUUGAUUUGAUUCGUACUCAUUUUCUCAUAGGUCUUAUUUUCUCUUACAUCUACACAUUCAUAAGUACCAAGGCAUGUCCAUUUUACUUGACCAGGGUCUCUUGUAUAUGACAUAGUGAUCAAAGGAUGCCAGCUGUUGAGUCCUCACUGACAAGGGGAGCCGGAAGUGGUUCUUGAGUAACAGCAAUGAGCAAAUUUUGGGCCUAGCAGUUACACACUUCUGAAGUGGCGUCUGGUACUUCUGCCUUAUUACUUUGUCUCACACUUCAUGUGUCUUCAGCAAAAGUCCCAUGUUUCUCAGUUCUCUUAUUUUCCUUAUCUGGAUAUGGUGUGGUGCUGUUUUUUUUCUCUUUCUUCCUGAUGUCAUCACUUCUGUUUGUUUUGUCACCCUUGCUUGACUGAAAUCACACUUAAGGUGCUCUGUGGCAAUUAAUAUAUACUGUCCCUUUAAUUUAUUCCUAUGUAUACAUUUUCAUAUUUCAUUUGCACUUGUCUUACAAAUUCUAUUACAACUACUUACAGAAGGUCCCUCUCUGAACUUACUUUGUUCUUCAUAGUGAAAAAUUCUACCAUUUGCAUCACUUAAUUGGCUGCCACUAUGGAUAGAAUUUAUUUGGUUUUGGUAUACUUAAAACACAUAUAAAACUGUUUAGUCUUUAAUCUCUCUAUUUUGACUGAAAUUUAGUCUUCUCUCACCAUUCUGUAUCUUUUCAAUUUUUUUUUAAUCCUUAUAAUCUAACUUGGAAUAAUUAUCAUCAAUUCCCUCAUCUCAUACCUCCUGUUUCCUCUCUUCACUUGGGUAUUUUUUUUUUUAACUUUCCCUGUGGAGUUGUCUUUAAAGACUGAAAUGAAAUAUUUAAAGCGUUGCCUCCAUUUAAACUUACUAAAUUGUGAUUUGUAUUGUGAUCGUCUUUGGUUCUUAACAUUUCACCUUCUGAUCUGCUACACUGAAUCCUAACCAUGACUUAAACUUGAUACCAUGUGCAUGAAUCAGAUGGAAUCAAAAUGUUUUCCCUUGCAUCUCCACAGUUUCCCUGCAUCUCCUCAUAGUUCAGACCUCCAAGCCCUGGUCUUAACUCCUUGCCAAACUUGAUGAUUAUGACUUAAACUGUGAGAAGCUUAGCUAUCUUCUCUUAUGUAAUAAAGUCCAUAAGUCAGGAUGAUUCAGAAGCAGCUGGACUGCUUCCUUUUGAGUGAUGAUUGUAGGGAUUGUGUUCAGAGUGACUACUCAGAACCAGGCGACACUUCUGAAACCUGCAGUUGGUACAGUGGCUAGUUUGCUUAGUGAAAGCUUUCCUGAAAGAACCUAAAAGAUCAUGUUGAAUUCAGUGUUAUACAGUAUCAAAUUAGACUUGACAGUCAAGCUAAAAAGUUUAGCAGUAUGAACUGUUUCUGAGGUGAGCUUCAAAACUAUAUUGAGAGUUCUCUAGAUUACAAUGGGAAGUUUUUUACCUAACUGUCUUAAGCACAUCUAAGUGUAAUUGCUUUCUGUGCUUACAUAUGAGGAAGGGUAUUAGUGGAAAAGAAGCAAAAUCACAAUCUGCUUUAGUAGAGAACCAAAUCUAUAAAGCAGACACGUUUGCUUGCAGGGCCACUCAGCGCUCUGAGAUGUAAGAAACUCAGACAUAUGCUAAACCUUUGGAAAAAAGGGUGCUGCCUUGAAAACGUCAUUUGGAGCUUAGUGUUGUUGUGAAAUACUAGCAGGUCUCUUGUAUUCUGCUAAAUAUUUUACCUCAGUAGAGUUUAUCAUCGCGUAUCAAAAAGAAAGAUACACAUGAAUCAGUGAUUAUUUGAUUUUUUUUUCUUUUUAAUGAAAGAUGAAAUCUCUGUAACUAAUGGAAAACUGUGAGCACAAGCAAUCAGCCUAUGCACCGCUCCCAUAAAGACUUUUUCAGUUUCUUGCUUUUAGACACAAUUUACGUGACCUGGUUUUUUGGCUUUCUUUUACUUAUAAAGUUCAUAUAUUCUGUUGUUCUUACUGAAGCUGACUCUUUUUCAGCAACCUUUUUCUUCGCUGAUGUUAUUACUGUGUGUUCGAAACACACUGAUUUUCCUUUUUUUCUCCAGACAGCCAAAAGAAACAAUAAAUCAGUGCUUAUUUUAGCGAGCUUAUGAAGUGAAUGAAUGUGAAAUAAAAAAGGCAAAUUUGUCACACAGCAGUGUUCUUCAGAGCUCGUGGAAUAUAAAGUGUACUGACAGAGAAUAAUGAUGCUUCUAAGUGAGUUUUAUCUUUUCAUGGCAAUUAUCUAGCAGUAAUAGCUGAAAUUUGGUUUUAUGUCAUUUUUUUUUUCUUAGGAAGAAGUAAAAGGGAAAUGAGUGGCUUAGGGUGGUUACUUUUUUGUGUUGUUUGUUUUUUAGCAAAAAUAAGCAGAACAGAUCUGAAUUUUCAAUGUUUUUUUUGUGAUGCAUCACUUAAUAGAAGUUGCAAUAAUUUCCUCAAGCUACAGUUUCUUAGAAAAAUUAUAUUAAGUAAAACUACCUACAGUAAAGCGAAGGAAGAGUUAAAAGAACUUCUGCUGUUAGGGAGGAAACCAUCAUGGGAAAUGGUUUAUGUCAUUAACUGGUACGUAAUUAGAGUAGGAGGAUGUGUUUUAUUCAUAUUCAUGUAAUUUCUUCUAUUUUGCAGUUAGAUGAAGCAGAACCGUCUGGAAGAGAUUUCUGUCUACAUGAGUCUAUUUAUUUACAGUUAGGCCAUGCUGUGUACAUUUAUGUCCCUGAAAGAGUUAAAAGAACUUUGAUGCUAUGUGAUUCGGAGUUUGAAUUCUAGGAGUUGUUCCCUUUUGAUCCCCUUAUGUGUGUGAGUUCAAAUGGUCUUGAAUUAUGCUGUCACGGUUCCAGUUUUGAUGAAACAACAUAUAAUGAAAAUGCUUUCAGAAUAAAACAGUGCUGUGACAUUCAACAAAUUUUUAUUGAAUCUUUGUCAUAUCUGUCAUAUAAAUCAGGCUGUGUAAACGUGUGGUGUUAGGAGUUUGAGUGAAAUUUUAGAGUGCAAAGGCAUUACCUGUGGUAAGAUCUGAAAUGAUUUUGUUAACAUGUGCAUGCAUACAUACAGGUAAAGAGGUCACAGCAUUAGAGGAAGGAAGAGGAUCACGACUAACUAAGGGAAUAAGGAUGGAAGGGUAUUGAUUUCCAUACCACAUCUGUAUUCAUUAGGACUGUCAGUUGGUGUAGAUGCAAUUCUUUAUUUAUCUCACAGAGAAAUGAGGGCGAUCUCUUUCACCGACUGUGGCAUAUAAUGAAUGAAAUCCUAGACCUGCGAAGGCAAGUCCUGGUUGGCCACCUCACCCAUGAUCGAAUGAAGGAUGUGAAGCGACACAUCACUGCUCGUCUGGACUGGGGCAAUGAACAACUGGGGCUUGACUUAGUUCCAAGAAAAGAAUAUGCUAUGGUGGAUCCUGAAGAGAUCAGCAUUACGGAGCUCUACAGGCUGAUGGAGCAUCGUCAUCGAAAAAAAGACACGCCUGUACCAGCUAGCAGCCACCAUCUUUUUGUUCAGAUGAAGAGUCUAAUGUGCUCCAAUCUGGGAGAGGAACUGGAAGUAAUCUUCUCACUCUUCGAUAGUAAAGAAAAUCGACCCAUCAGGUAGCAUAUGAUUUUUCAGUGGGUACUGAUUUUACAUUGUCAGUGUGUGCUGUUUUGAUCUUGGUUAUAAAUUCCACAUUUAAAAACAAGCAAAAGAUUUUUUUUGCUUUGUCUUGUAAUCCAGUUCCUAUACUUAAUAUUUGCCAGUAUCAUUUUGGAUUUAAAUAAUAUAUUUUUCUCUGCCUUUUUUACUUAUUUCAGUUUUUAGCUGGUUUUACUUGAGAGGGAACAUAUAUACAUCUGUGCAUACAGACUGAGUAUUAGUUUUGUGACUCAAAGGUUACUUUUUAGUAUCUCUAUUUUCCUUUCUCCUAAUCAGUGCACAUUAAAACUUGCAGUGUUGCUUGCUCUGUAAUAUUUAUAAGAUGAAUUCUCCUAGGUACCUCAAACCAGAGAGCUUAGUGAGUUAUGAAAUCGUUUUAUAAUAGGAGCCUGAGGUGCACACUCUUAAUGAAGUAGUCAAACCCGAUCUCACAUCCAUUUAGGGUUUGCUGGCUUUUUUUUCAUUUGGGAACUGAUCCUGUAACUAUUCUUCUGCUUAUCCUAGAGCUGAAAUCCUUUUAACUUUUAAAUGUCCAGUACUUAUUUCUAUUCCUAACAUGUUUCUGGCCAAGAGAGAGGACCUGGGAAUGAACAGGAACAGAAUCAUGAUGCACUCAGCAGAUAUGAUUUAUAGGGGGAGAGCAGAGUUGGUGGAAGAGCCUUCUGAGUUCUGUAUGAGAACUAUGGCAGGAAGACUGAAGGAGCGAUGCCACACUCAUACUUGUACAUUGGUGAUGUAAGACUGGUGAUGGAAGACUGGUCAGAAGGCUCUCAUUGAGAAUUUGCUGCUUGUCAUUACUCAGUGUAUUCUUUCUGUUUUCUCACUACAGAAAGUACAGGUACUAGAAGCAAAAUACCGCAGUCUAAUUUAAGGGUAGCCGCUGGGGAAAUGAAAGACUAGACUUAAAAACAAAUUGCACUUUAGAUAAGACAGAACACAAAUGCACAAAUAGAAAUAAAACCUAUUAUAGUAAGCCUAUUAAUAGGCUAAGAAGUGUUAUUCAGAAUGUGUGCAUAGCCAUGACUGUGUACUAAUUGUCUUUCUAUACGUGUGGUAAUAGGAAUUUGGGGCGUUGCACAUGCACAUUAGACUGAAUUUGACAAAAUGAUUUGUGUGCUUUGUAGUUGUGCAAAAUAGCUACCCACUAUUUGAAGGAAGUUUGUACUGAAUAAAUUGAUUUUUAUAGCUAAUGAAAUCUUUAAAUUGUUAGAACGUUGGCUGCUUAAUACUGACCUGGAAUGCACUUUGGACAUUAGUCACCAAAAACAGUUUACUGUCAUUCCUGAGAGUUAAAUGUGCAUCAGGGCACAUCUUUUGUGUUCAUUUCAGUGAAUGGCAUAGCAGGUGAUGGAUUUAGAUGAGAGCUUCAGACCUUGACAGAAAACAAUUUGAGUGUUAUGGAUUGCUGAAAACAAGGUUAUGGCAGUAGUGGUCGUAUGAAAGCAGAUGGAUUGGAUUUCACAUUCACAUGAAAGCACAAAUUCUAGAGCUGUUUGUCACAUGCUGGCUGUGAUCUGACCUUUAGGUAUUGAUUCCUGACUCCAGUGUCCAUUUGCAGCUGCUUUAUUAUGUGUGAACUUCCUCAUCCCAUUACUGACAAACCUUGAAGAAGUGUGUUGUCAUGAAUCCAAACUGCCUUCUAGAGCAUGGGAGGAAUGACAAGAUGAACUUUGUGGAAGCAGCUUGUUACUAUCUGUAAAACAAACACGCACACCUCCAUACCUCUCACAAAUUAAAAACCCAGGAAGCAAGAACCCCCUCAACAAACACGUUGAAAAAAAUGAAAGCAAGGGAGUUUUCACAAGAAUGUAUUUAAUUUCAAUAUAUAUAUGGAUCAUAGCACGAGUUGGAAUGCAGAUGUGUCCAAGCUGUGGUCUUUGUGGACUAGGUAUGCAAGCAACAUAACCAUGUUGUCCAAGAGUUAAACCAAGGCUAGUUGGUCUUGCUGACACGGCUUUUGUGCUCUUGCUUAAUAUGUGCAUGGCCGUAGUUUCCACACCUAAUCUAUAUUUCGGUCAGUUGACUGCUUGUUAGAGCACAUAAAUUAAAGUCUUGUGUAUGUGUACAUAGCAAUAUGAUAUUUCGUUCAAUACAAAUUGGCAGGAUAUUUCAGAGAUCUUUAUGCCCUUGUUAGUGCUGACACAUGCAUGCAAUAGACCCUGAGGAGAUGAUGUGUGAGAAGAGACUGUGUGCGCAGUCAUUGGAUACUGAGCUUCACACCCUGCAAUGAAGACAAGGCCUACUGGCAGUAAUAGAGGUGUGAGCUGCAAAGUGUGAUACCUGGAUAGAUGUAUUCUUCUGCUAAUUCUGGAUGAUAUUAGCACGUCAAAAAGCUGUGUUUAGCAUUACCUUAAGGUCUGUCACAGCCUACCUGGGUGAUUUGUUUGUUGAUUUCCUAAGUCAUUGCUAAGGAGCCCACAAGAAAAAAGCAAUAAAAAUAGUAGGUGAAACUCUUGUUAACAGAACAGAUAAAAAGUAAGAAACCAUAUAUAGCAAUUUAUGUCCUGAAACAGAACGUUCGACAGAUAUUUGGUUCAAAAUAAAAAUAUAAGAAUAUACAUCACUUAUAAUGUAUGUCUUCAAUUUUGUGGUUACGGUAUUAGAAUGGGAGGCUUUCAUUUCUUUGGGAUUUUUUACUUUUUAUGUAAAUUUUAGUUUUGCAAGCUCUACGUGUGUACCAGGCUUUCCUCAGGUGGUGAUCCUGCUUGUUUGAAUGUGACAAUUGGAAUGCAUAAUGUUGAGCACAGGCCCAUAGGUAGAACUGCUCCAAUAAUGUGGCUUUGUGUAGAUUUCAAUCUGGUGUUCGUUGUCCAGCUGAUGUAAAUAUACAUAAAAUGGGUGAUCUUUGUUGCCUCCUAAAGGAGUUCAUGUGGAAAAAGUAAAAAGAGAACAGCUGAGAUUUAAUGAUAGAAUUUCUGUUCUGAUACUUUUCUAUCUUAAGACUACCUCGGCUUCUUAUCAGAUCAACCUGCAAGCAUAUGAUCUCUGUAUAUACUUAUUUCACUUUUUAUUAACCCCAAGUUCAUGCAAUUGAAAUAGCAGAUUUAAAAGUGAUUGGGGGACUAGAAGCAAUAUUGUCUGUGUUUUCUUGUUGAUAGAUUGAGUGUUUUUUCCCAAACCAUUCUUUGUUUUACAUUACCUGUUUCAUACAUUCAGCGAAGUUUAUUGCACAGAAAUUUUUUUUCAAGUAUCGUCAGUAAAAUGAAUUGCAGUUGUAGGUACUGAGGUGAGGCAAGUAUCUACAGAACAGUAAUGCUUUAGGAAGUUUGAGUCUAGCAACUUUCCUAGUCCAGCUGCAGACUAAUGCAAGAAAAAGCAGACUGGGUGUAGGAUUCUCUGGUCUUAAACAAUUAGCAACAUUCAAGAAGGAAUGCACUGCAUUCCGUCUCCAGAGAAGCAAACUCUACAAUCUCUGUAGGCAGCCUAUUCCAGUGCUCUGUCACCCUCACAGUCAAGAACUUUUUAUCCUGUUCAGAGAAUAUACUUUAUACUUUAUUGUGACAUAUAUUAAGACAUUAUAAAAUGAUCUAAAUCUAUUUGUAUACUGCUGCAGAAUUUGUACAGAAUAUUUUCAUUAUAUUUUGAGUGUUUAAAGAUUUUUGAUAAGAGGAUGUAAUUUGUUGACAUGCAUAGAACAAUACGAUCUUCUUAUCUUUACAGAAUUUACAGCUAUUAUUUUUUUUCUGAUCAACUGUGCUGUGAAAUCAUUUGAAAGAUUUUCAUUUUCCUCUUCCUUUAUUUUAAACCUAUCUGAAUUUAUUAAUAAUGUGAAUAAUGUGCUGCUGUGGGAAGGUCUGUGCUUCAGGGAAGGAAAAAAAUAAAAGGGAAGAGGAGGAUACUCAAUAUAAGGAAGCUAUGGUUUAAUAGCUGAGCUUCAUAUUGUAGUACAAGAAGAAGGCUGUCCUUAGGACAUUGUAAAAUUGUUGUUUUCUGAGACAGUAAUAAGAACUCUCAUACUUAGAAUAUUGUCACUGAACAAUGAUGAAAAAUGAAACUUUUUUUUUGUUGCUAUAGUUAUAGAUUGUUGUUGUUGUUAUAGUUAUAGAUUGUUUGAUAAAAGCAUACUAUAGCAACUGUGUAAAACCAAGUUACAAGCAGAAAGCCCGUUGUGUUAACAGGUCUUGCAUUUGACAUAGUGAGGCUUGAAUUUUGUCUAAUGAUAAAAUAUAACAUAGUGACAUGUAAAAAGAAUAUUGUUGUAUAAAGUAAAAGAAAUUUAGAUAUAAAAUGGAAAACUGCAAUCCUGAAUAUCAGCACAGCUUUUGUCUAAUUCUCAUGUCCCCUAUGGUUUGCCAUAGGAACUAAGUUCAGUAUGUCUUCUUGGCAGGGCUGGAUUCCUACACUGCAGUGUCAGCCACUGUUUUUCUUUGUAGAGACAACUAGAUGAGGAAAAGGAGAAUACUAGUGAUUGCAAUUCCCUUUAUAAAAUAUUCUAAGGAUGGUUGCUGUAGCUUAAGAGACAGCAAAUCUGAAUAUUUGAAGGCAUAGCAAGAAACCGAGCAUAGGCCUUUCUUUUCUUGAAGAAUGUAACUUAUUAAUAUGUUUUUCAACUACACCACAACUUUGCUGCUCUUAAAACAAACAAACAAACAAACAAACAAGCAAAAACAUCAAAAAGGGUUUCACCACUCCUCAUAUUUAAAUUCAGUACAUGCUCUUCACCACUUUUUCUUUCUCUAAUUGAUUGUGUUUAAUUAGAAAAGUGUAUAAUUUGUUACCAUGUGGAAAGUCUGUAAUUAGGGAGAAAAGUAAAAGAAAAAGGAAGAUACUUCAUAACAUACGAAUGUGGUUUAAUAUGGUUUAAUAGCUGAGCUUGAUAUUAAAUUGCAAGAAUAAGGUUGUCCUUAGGCCAUAGUAAAAUUGUAGUUUUCUUGAGCAAUAUUAAGUACUGCCUUGAUUAAAAGACAUCUGAUUCAUGUUCUGGAAUCUGUUCAGAUGGAGGUAUCUUAUAGAGUAAUGAACGAAACACCAAGGUUAAGACUUCUGCCAAAGCUUCACAUUUCUUUUUUUGUUUAAUUUUAGAAGGUUUCAUGAUGAAUACAUGGACUGUAUGAUUUGAAAACAGCUCUGAAGACAUGUGACUUUAAGAUCUUUGUUUGAAUUAUAUAUCUAGACUUCUGCUACGGUUAGUUUUAGUCAGUGAAGCUUAGAAAUGUUCAGCCAAUAAAAUGUCUGUAUCUUCUCAGCUCUUUAGAAUCCCCUGAAGUAAUUUUGAGCUGAAUCCAUCCUAUUUCUUUCUUGCUUUCUAUGUGGCUGCUUUAGGUCUCCACAGAGUUUGAGUCUUCAAAAUCAGAAAUAAUUGUUGAAAUCAAAAAGGACAUGGAUAUUCAAUAUUACUUAUCUGACUUCUUGCCAUUAGCCUCUCACAGUGGAAUCUAUAAAGAGAAGUCCCCUGAAUUUGCUCUUAAAAUAUUUGCAAAGAAUUUUACAGUAGGGGGAUCAAAAAUUUGUGGUGCAUGUAUGUACAAAUUUAGAAUUGUUGCUUCAGUGUAUUUUGAAAUUGUUUUCUUAAUAAUAAUAAUAAAAAGGAUUAUCCAAAGGACUCUUUUGUUAUGUUUAAGGAAUACUGUUCCAAUAAAGUGAUCUUCUGAUUGUGUGUGACCUACAAGUGCAUUCCUAGGCAAGUACCUGUUAAAAUAAAUAAGAAGCAGAAAUUAAAAUUGUGAAAACAUUAUUCUGCUUUUGGUAAUGUAUCUUAAUAUUUUUAGUGCUUUGAAUGAAAGGAAAAUUAAGUAAAUUUGUAACUACAUUAUAUUGAAAUAAUUUUUCUUUUUAACAGCUCACAAUCUUUCCUGUAUGUACAAAGAGUUAGAUAAUAAUAGCUUUUCAGGUGAGAUGUGAGAAACUUUGAUGUAGAAAUUAGUGACUUGCCCAGAGAAGAAGUCAAGUAGUGAUAAAGAUUCAGUGAUGCUAGGAGAGGCAAGGUCAAUGUUUGACCUUCUGGCUUCCAGUCUAAGGACUUCUCUAGAUGUGUAGCAGCUGUGAUGAUUUGCUUGCAUCCACCUUAGCGUAAUCAAUGCACACUUUGGGCAACAGAUUUUUUUCUGUUGAAUUUAGGAAGCUAGAGAUAAAUGUUCUUUUGUGAUCACUGCAUUACUGUUGGUAGGAAUCUUAACGUUUGUUUGGGAUGCUAUGAGACACUUUUCUUCUUGAGGCUUCUUUUGUGGCUGGAAAUUACUAUUAAAAAUUAAUUUUUUAAUUAUAUUGGUGUUUGCAAAAGCAUCAAUUCUGUUGCAUUAAUUAUGUAGUAGUAAAAUACAGGCUUAUUUAUGACUUUAUUAUUGCUAAUGAACUGUUACAGUUAAUAUUACUGUGCAGAGUAUUUCUAUAUUUAUAUAAUUACACUGAUUUUAAUACAUGCCUUCACACUUUAAAAAGCUAUGUAUCGUCAAGAGCAUUUACUUCAUGUGGAAGCUAGAAAACUGUAGAAGUUUUUUCUUGAUAGGUAUAAAUCUGAGUGAUGACAUCUGUAUGUGCUUGCUUCAUUAAAACUACAAGUGUAAUAUUGUGCCUAGUUAGUACGUAGUAACUUAUAUUGACUCUGUGUAUAUGCAUAUAUAUAUAUAUAUACAUAUUUUCUAGCUAAACUAACUGUAGGAAUGAUUUGUGUUAUCCCUUAAAUUCACAAUAAGAAGGUGAAGUCAGCCCCUGAUGACUUCCAGAGUUUUCUCUGAUGUGUUCUUCUGUAUCGUUUUGCUUUAUGUUCUUCUUGCUUUGCAAAUUUUCCUUCUUAAAAUGGGAACAGUCCCUGCAUGGUUCUUGGUCAAUUUGUGAAUGGCUCUACUUUAAUGUGAUGCAGCCAUAUGAAUUGUCUCAGUAAAACUUUGUUUUAUGCAUUUCUGUGUCUUCUUACCUUAUAUUCUUCUCUUUUUAUUUCUGUCCAAGUCAAAAGCCUCAUUUGUUUGUUCUUCAACUUUUUAUUCUUUAAAAAAGUGAAAAAUUGUCUUGAUUAAGCUUUAGUUUGUUGCACUAAUUGCACUGAGAAAAGCUAAGACAAUACCUAAAUACCUAAUACCUAAAGCAAAAUUCUGAGCGUACAUAGUUGUAGUAUUAGUUUAUAUUUGGAAAAUGUAAGUAGUCUGUGAUCAUAUUUUCUCAUUUUCUCCUGAGACUUUUCUGUCUUUCAGUUCAGUCCUGGAUGCUGCUGAGCUUUUACCAGAUACUCGGAGGUGUACAGCAUCAUAGUCUGUUCGAAAGUACAUUGUCUCAAGCAUACUCAGUCUAGAUCUGCCAAGAGUCCAGACAGUAGUUAAUUAGCGUUGUUCUAAAAUGCUUCUGUAAAAUCUGUUCCUUGAAUCUGGCGUGCUCAGCUAAUGUUUGAGAAAAGCAAAAUCCAAAGGGCUUAUCAACUUAAUACUGAGCUUUGAUGGUUCGUUUCAUGUCAUCUAAAUUUGCUGUAAGACUGUGAUGUACAGGCAGUGGUGGCCAGUGGGAGUUGCAGAACAGCAGCGGAUGCUCAGAGCCUAGUGUUAACAUCUGUAAAUGUUCAGAGGAUUUUAGUAAAGACAACCUAUGAGGUUGUGUGAUCUGAAUGCCCAGCAUUGGUGAGAGUCUGUCUUGCAGUUUAAUGCAGGAGAAAUCCAAUUCACUAAAACUAUUUUGGAUUGUGAAUCAAAACAUGGAUUGUGGAGACAACCAAGGGAUUUUCUACAAAAGCAAAAAUCUGAUACAAACUAAGCUGAUGAUGUAGAUCUUAAAAUAGCAUAUGUAAGGUGCAUAUUACAGGAUUAUAGUUUGAACAGAGAAAAUUCGUGUAGAACAUGGAGCAACUCAGCUUUUUACCUUGGGUGUUAGCCAUUACAAUUACAUUACAAAGACAUUUUCAUAGUUAAAUGGGAUUUUAGAUGCUUGAUUUCAGUUGAUUUUAGUGUGAGGUGCGCUUACAGGAAAAUACAUAAUUUAAACUCCUGGCACAAGAUAGGAUACUUUGGAUCUCCAAAAGAAGACUGGAAAUGUGUGUUUUUUAGAGCAUUUCAUAAGAGUUCAACAAUCUUGUGUUCUUCAUUAGCUAGUUUCUAAAUCUGUUGUAAUGUGUGAUUAUUUAUGGGAUUUAGGAAGCAUUUGAUAUUUUUCUAUUCUAAAGAAAUAACUGGUAGCUUUUCUUCUGUAAAUUCAGAGUGUGAAGAUUCCCAACGCUUAGAGUAUCAAAGAAUGUAGUGAUGAUUGUAUGCUCUGUGGGUAUCUUAUUUUCUUACCAGCAAAAAAGUUUAGUAAAUGAACCAGCAGUGAGGUUGCACGUACCAAGUCUAUAGUGCAUACUUAUCAGAUGACACAGAUCACAGUUUGCACUGUUAGAUUUUUGGAGAAAUAAAGGGCAUCCGGUCAUAGUACAUACUUUUCCCCUGGUUGUGCUCAUAUCAUUUACAAAGUGCGGCAGUUUGUUGUGGAAGUGGUGAUCUUAGUGUAACCAGAAGAACCUGGGCUCUGGACACUGGAGCUCUGAGACAAAUCCUUCAAUAAAAAGUACAUAUUGUUUUAUUUAUUGUUUUUGUUUGAAAGAUCUCACCAGAUUUUUUUCUCCCCAACUUUGUUGUUUUCAAGAUUGUGUUUAUUAUUCACUGAGAGCCUAACUUUAUUUUUUGCCACAAUUAUGUUCUGAUGCUACACAUACACACACAAAAAAAGUUUAGCAAAUGAAUUUUCUAAAAAAAAAAACUUUCCAAAAAUCAGAUAUCUCAGUGUCCUCUGAAAUACCUACCUUUCUGGUGUAGCUAUUGUAAGACCAUAUUUCUGUUUGUUGUACCUCACUACCCAGAAGUCCUGUCUGUUUCUUUAUUGAAAUUUGGAAACACGGGCAAUUAUCAUCCUGAGGGUGCACUGUGAAAAAGGGAAUGGAGGGUGUUAAGCCAGUUACGUGCAUAUGUUCAGAUAAGCGAGCUUUGUUCUUGUUAUUGAUGAUAUGUAUGAGGAUGCUGCUUCGUCUCCUGCCCAAAGUCCCAGUUGUUUUGCUGACCUUUACAUUUAUGUAGUGUUUGUGCCUCUGUGUGUUAUGACAACAUACUGCAGUAGAAUGCUGACAUUUUUUCCUUAAAUCUGCAAUGGCACACACGGUUCUUGUCUAGCUAUAUCUUCUCUAAGCCACUUUCUUAAUGUUAUCAUUUUCUCCAAAUAGCAAUACUAUUAAUAGAGCAAUUUUAAGGCAGCACUUUAGAAAGAUGGAGUGUGUUAAGAAUUUCCUUCACUGAUAUAUCCUUUGUGUCUGUGUCAAUAUGAUAUGAAUGUCUUAUCACAAAUGAUUGAUGCCUCUGGCCACAUCUGUGGGAGAAGUGGAGAUAAGCUGUCAUGCUAAUCCUCCUUUUUCUGUCACCUUGAACAACCUUGUUUGUUACUAUCAUAUUGCCCUCAAAUGAGCACAGAUUCUUCAUCAACACAAAGAGGAAUAGACUGCCUAUCCAAGGCAAAUAAGAGUAACCUACACAUUUUCUAUUUGUAAGCUUUUGUUUAUAUAUUUAAAGACUAUGUAGACUAUGCAGUAUCAGAGAUUAAGCAGAUUACCCUUUGUUUGCUGUACUCUCAAUCUUGACUUCUUACUGGCAUUCAUACACAUCAUUAACCUUUUAAUGUAUUUCUUCUUUCAGUCGUUUAAUUACUUAAAUCAUUGUUAUCACUUGCUGAAAACUGAAACCCGUGGUUGAUGGGUCAAAAUAUUUGCUGAUUUGUGUUAUAAUCUACUUUUUGGUACUUCAUUUUCCAGAGAAAAAGCCAUGAUGUCAUUUUUUUUCCAUUUAAGAAGGAAAUGCUCUUUCCCCUACCCGCCCCUCCCAUUGGCCCCUAUUCUGUGGAAAUAUCAAAGAAUUUUAGUGCAGGAAGAAAAUGUUUAAAGAAGUUUUUUGCAACUUCCCCAAACAUGGGAGUUGCUAUCUUUUAUGGCAGUUCAAAUAAACCAACUUCUAACCAUCCCUCUCACUACAAAUUUACAGAAUUGACUAGUGUUAAUUGUUGACAGUCAGAGCAACAGCAAAAAAGAGAGGGCUUGAACACCUCUUCAGUCUAACUAAUGAUUUAUUUCCAUCUCCAAGAAGUCUGCCUGUUUUGAACCUGAGAUGUAUUUCUUCUUUGCAAGCUGAGAUAUCAUUGUGGCCUCUGUUGAGCUAGAGCUCAAGAAGUCAGUAUUUCUUUAAACACAUAAAUCAAUGGGGUUACGCUUGAGUUUUAAUAUCCAGUUUACUCAGGAUCAGUGCUCCAGAUAUCAGCACUCAAAUAGCUAAAUUCUUUCUUGCUUCUCAGCAAUGUGGGACACUAAGCCAUAAAGAAGAUGGAAAAAUAUACUUGUGAAACAGUAUGGUGUGUUAUCUAACAUGUUACAGUAGUUAUUUAAAAAGCACAGGCGUAUCCUUUGUGUGUGAUUAUCAAUACAUGAAGAAUUUUUUGCAUGUAGCUGGGGGAGCAGUUCACUAGCCAUAGUGAUUUAGAAAUUCAGGGCAAAGAAAGAUAAGUGGUGAAGUGUUGUAGUAUGGCAGUUAUAAGGUAGUUAUUAUCUAGCAGAGUUGAAAAGUUGAGAAGAAUGUGUAAAGAGCUAUAUUUUCAUAAAGAACCAAAGGACCCAGCUGCCUAUUGGUGCUGCCUUUCUGAUAUUCCAGAGGUUCCAGUUCAGACCAACCUAGAUGAAUUUUAGCUUCUUUUUGGUUCUUUUCAUAGUACUGUCAUCAUGCAAAUGUUCCACAUUAGCAAUGUUAUUUGAAAUUUUUUGUUGUACAUACUGUGUGCAUCUACUGUUCUUUCCAGGUUCUUUCCAGACAGGCGAUUCUUUAUUUUAUUCUCUGUAACUGUAGUGAAAAGAACAAAUGAGGACUGGGGAAUCAGUGAGACCUUUUAAAAUUAAAUUUGGAAAGCAGUUUAGAUGGUGCGAUAUAUUUCUAAUGCAAAAUCUGGAGAGAGAGUGUGCACACAUUUAUUUCUACAUACGUGCAUACAUGCACAUACAUUAAUUGAUAUUCAGAUUUUCUGCUCCUUUACAUAUCUGGUUGUUUGAUAUUUAAAUUCUGUGUUUCUGAAUGUCAUGAAAAUUCAGAGGAUUGAUUAAUAGAAGGAGAGAUUCACUUCCACGGUUACCUAAAAGAACUAAUGUCAUUUGGAGAAAAAACAGAAUGUGUAAGAUUGUGUUUUAAUUGUCUCAGACUCACUUGCCUGCUCCCAUAGCACAGAAUUUCUUGGAAGGAAUUAUCUCUGACUAGAAAGGCACAAUUCACACUGGACUUCGUUGUAGCUUUUCAGAAGCAGGAUGUUUUUCAUGAAAAAAACAUGUAGUUGAGAGCGUGCUCAGUACAGUGCGUUCUAAUACACAACACACAGUCUAGGUUCUCCUUGUAAUCUGUCAUUAAGAGAUAGGCUAUUCUGCCUUUCCCUCUUAGAAUACUAUGCUUUAACAUGUGUAACCUGCACUUAAGCAGCGUUCCUUGGAAGUUAUUUUUUACUUGAAUACCUCAACGUUAUCUAUGAAUGCUUUCUGUCUUGAAGCAGCCUUGGAUCCUGGGCAGGAUUUAAGCUACAGGAGCUAGCAGCACUUCUGGUAGAGGAAGUGACUUACGGGAACUGGAAGAAAUGAACUAGCUCAGGACUGUCUCCUUCACAAUAUUUCCACAACAACUUAUUUUGCACUUUUACAGGACCGCAGCAUAGUGGGGUCCAGUGUUGCUUUUAGUUUCCUGUGCAGCGUGUGCAAGCAUUUUAAUCUCAUGCAAUACUUAAAUUAUACCAUAGUGAAUUACCCCAAAUCAGUGCAUGUAUAUCUGUACCUCGUAGAUUCAGGAGAGAUUAUGCAUCUUGGCUUUUUUGGCUAUUUUGAUGUUCUUCAUUCUUGUUCAGUCACUUAUUACUCUGUUUUGUUCCUCCUUAGAAACAAGGUGACACAAGAGGAGCCUGGUUUUAUUCUGCUCAUUCAGGACUCGUAAUUUUAGCACAAGGGUAGAAACUUAAAAAUCAUUUUUCAAGAGGGGCCAUUACUCUGUUAACUGUUUCUUACACAUUUGGAAUAAAAAUAUCUAAAUAUCUCAUAGAAUGGUUAACAGUGGUGUGUACUUCAUUGAAUAAGGCGGCCAUUUUUUUUCAUUUUCAUAUUAUCCUUUAUAUGACUGAUGUACUCACUACUAUUGGCUUUGUUUGUGACAGAGUACCUGGCAAUUUACACAUGUGGGCAAGACUGUAUUGGAUGUGAUUGUAAGUGGAAGUACAUAUAUGGUUAUAAGAAGCAGCUUGAAGGAGAAACUUGAACUUCCAGAAACUUUAAAAGCUUCCCUUCCGAAACUGUGCAAUAUUCUUUCCAGUUAUCCAUUGUGAACAGAAAAAUUCUGAUGUGCAAGAAUAUAUUCAGGCCUUUCUUGGCAGGGUAGUGAAGUAACAGAAGUCAUAGGGCAUCUCUUGAUCCUAGAAUGAGGAGACAUUCUGGAAUAGGAGUCACCAAGAGAAGAUAAGCAAAGAUGUUUCUUGGUUGCAGUCAGGUGGAUUACUCCAAAUUGGAAAUGUAAAAGUUGUGUCUCAAGUGAAUAAUGCUCUUUGCCCGAGAGUACUGGAUUAAACUCCCUGCUGUGGAGUUCCUAAACACUAGAAGGAAGAAUGCUGAAAUGCUGGCCUAGUCAGUUAGUUUGCCCAAUUAGUUACAUUUGUUGCAUUUGUUUUACAGUGAAAAACAACUCCUAGGGUAGAGUAGAAACACGCUGAUGCUAACUAGUAGCUUGACAUUUAAAGUCAAUAAUUAAUACAUUGGAACUAGAGCCUGUCAGUUGCCAUGUUCAUGCAGCUUGCCUCUCACAGUGAAACAAGGAUUUCUUUUAAUUCUUUGUCCCGAGUUCGCUUUUGACCUGAAAAGUCUGUUUGGG